CUCAGAAUCCUACCUGGACUCUUUAAUUAAAGAGUGCAGGGUCCUACGUAAUAGCUUUCAUUCUUCCCUAGGAGAAACAACCUAAGGAAUCUUUAGCGUGCUAGAUGGCACCUUUUUUCUAAGACUGUAUAGACCUAUAAAUUACACGUAAAAUGUGUAUAUAUGGUAAAUAUCAUGAUUUAUAACAUUUUCAUGCAAAGUAGCUGCUAUUGUGUAUUUUUGCUCACCACUACAGUUCAGUUGACAAAGAUCCAGACUGUAGCUUGAUCCUGAAUUGCAUGUUAUAUCACUCAGCUGGAAGAUUCCAUAAAGUAGAGUCUGGUCUUCAGAGCUACGUUUAGAUCUUUUCUUAGUUUCAGUCUCAAGAGGUCCUGUGGUAUUCAGUGGUAUAUCCAAGGGAUCUUUGGGCUCUGCUGUGCUGUCUGGUGGUAAACCUUUGGGACCAAAUAGCGUUUCAUAAUCAUCAUACUGUAUAUCUUUGGGCUCUGCUGUGCUGUCUGGUGGUAAACCUUUGGGACCAAAUAGCAUUUCAUAAUCAUCAUACGGUAUAUCUUUGGGCUCUGCUGUGCUGUCUGGUGGUAAACCUUUGAGACCAAAUAGCGUUUCAUAAUCAUCAUACGGUAUAUCUUUGGGCUCUGCUGUGCUGUCUGGUGGUAAAUCUGUGGGACCAAAUAGCACCAAAUAGCGUUUCAUAAUCAUCAUACGGUAUAUCAUUGGGCUCUGCUGUGCUGUCUGGUGGUAAAUCUGUGGGACCAAAUAGCGUUUCAUAAUCAUCAUACGGUAUAUCUUUGGGCUCAGAUGAGCUGUCUGGUGGUAAACCUUUGGGACCAAAUAGCGUUUCAUAAUCAUCAUACUGUAUAUCUUUGGGCUCUGCUGUGCUGUCUGGUGGUAAACCUUUGGGACCAAAUAGCGUUUCAUAAUCAUCAUACGGUAUAUCAUUGGGCUCUGCUGUGCUGUCUGGUGGUAAAUCUGUGGGACCAAAUAGCGUUUCAUAAUCAUCAUACGGUAUAUCAUUGGGCUCAGAUGAGCUGUCUGGUGGUAAACCUUUGGGACCAAAUAGCGUUUCAUAAUCAUCAUACGGUAUAUCUUUGGGCUCUGCUGUGCUGUCUGGUGGUAAAUCUCUGGGACCAAAUAGCAUUUCAUAGGUUUCAUUAUCUACAUCUGUGGGGUCAGGCAAUCUGUGAGAUUCGACUGUUGCGUGUAAAAUGUCUCCAUCGUCAAUCAAUGCUGCUCCAGAGCCAUCGCCUUCAUCCUCAGAUGGAGCUUCCCUUUGCUUCCUGGCUUGCGCAUCGACAUCAACACUUUCUUCAUCUUGUCCAAGAGUGAACUUGUCUUCACCCACUACUUGUAGAGGAGUUGAAGGCUCUUCAGUCCCCUCUGUGCUUUCAGGAAAUCCAUAGUCGUUGCUCACAGUAUUUGUUGUUAAGGGCAAUUCUCCCAUUCCAGAAGGGUAAUCUUCAUCAUUAAAAUCUAGAAAAGGAGCUAUGAUCAGGGUUCCGGGGUCGAAUUGGUCAAUGUUGUUUACAAGAUUGGUGUUGAACCCAGAAAUGUUUUCUACUGUGCAGGCCACU
ensembl:lncRNA